CUAGAAAAAAAACUCAGAGAGGAUGGAUGAUCACAUAAUUUUCUCAUUAUGGCCAAAUCCCUCUCUCUUCCAUCGCGUCCCUUCAAUUCCCCUUCUUCUUCCAUUGGAACCCGUCUCUCUCAACUCCCCAAAAUCUCUUGUUCUUCCAUAUCCAUUCAAUCUCAAUCACCCAAAGACCAACUCCUCGCCCUCAUCUCCGACCAAGAAAGAGGUCUCAAGACCCAGAAAAGCCCUCAGAAACUUGCUUCAAUUGUGAAAUCAAUCGACGCCUUGGCGUCUCUUGCUCGAAAUUCUGUCACAACGGACGAUUCACUUUCUGCGACAUGGCGUCUUCUAUGGACCACUGAGAAAGAGCAGCUGUUCAUCAUUGAGAAGGCUCACUUGUUUGGUACUCAAGCUGGGGAUGUUUUGCAGGUGAUUGAUGUCAAGAAAAAGAGUCUUAAUAAUGUCAUCACUUUUCCUCCAGAUGGGGUUUUCUUCGUUCGAUCCAGCAUUGAAGUUGCUUCCUCUCAGAGAGUGAAUUUUAGAUUUACAAGUGCUGUUCUGCGAGGAAAAAACUGGGAAAUUCCUUUGCCACCAUUCGGACAGGGCUGCUUGUUGAGGUUAUUCCAAAAGAACCAAUACUACUUACCAAGCAGCCUACAGCACCAUUGCCUGUUUUGUUCCUCCAAAGAAUCAUGGACAUGGGAAAACUGGAGUUCGAUUCUAUUUACGGCAUGUUGAUAGAUGUCUUGUCCUCUAAUGCCUCCAGUUAUAAUAAGAGAGCUCAACGAGUUCUACUUCUAUUACAGUGAAUGGUUCGAGACGGUAUACCUCGAUGAUGAUAUCCGGGUUGUAAAAGAUAUCCGAGAUGAUUAUUUAAUCGUUGAACGUGCUCCCUACACUUGGAAAGAAUGAAAAGCUAGAUCACUGGUUUUCAUUGCUGCUAUAGAAACACGAUGCAGUAGAUUGUAUUGUAUUAGUGUUAGUCAUCUAAAUUGAUCCUACGUCUAUCCUUCUGGAUUCUGUGUCCUUAUUAUGCAACACUCAUGCUGUUGCUCUCACUGUUUAGGUAUUAUUGUUGUAAACCUUGAUUACCAUUAUUUGGGCUAACCAUUGAUAAUGGGGUUAUAUUCAUGUCAAAA